GAUGAACGCUGGCGGCGUGCUUAACACAUGCAAGUCGAACGGGAAACCUUUUAUUGAAGCUUCGGCAGAUUUAGCUGGUUUCUAGUGGCGGACGGGUGAGUAACGCGUGGGUAACCUGCCUUAUACAGGGGGAUAACAACCAGAAAUGGUUGCUAAUACCGCAUAAGCGCACAGGACCGCAUGGUCCGGUGUGAAAAACUCCGGUGGUAUAAGAUGGACCCGCGUUGGAUUAGCUAGUUGGCAGGGUAACGGCCUACCAAGGCGACGAUCCAUAGCCGGCCUGAGAGGGUGAACGGCCACAUUGGGACUGAGACACGGCCCAGACUCCUACGGGAGGCAGCAGUGGGGAAUAGUGCACAAUGGGGGAAACCCUGAUGCAGCGACGCCGCGUGAAGGAAGAAGUAUCUCGGUAUGUAAACUGCUAUCAGCAGGGAAGAUAGUGACGGUACCUGACGAAGAAGCCCCGGCUAACUACGUG
rnacentral:rRNA from 1 species